rnacentral:rRNA from 1 species
AGUGAACGCUGGCGGUAGGCCUAACACAUGCAAGUCGAACGGCAGCACAGUAAGAGCUUGCUCUUACGGGUGGCGAGUGGCGGACGGGUGAGGAAUACAUCGGAAUCUACUUUUUCGUGGGGGAUAACGUAGGGAAACUUACGCUAAUACCGCAUACGACCUACGGGUGAAAGCAGGGGAUCUUCGGACCUUGCGCGAUUGAAUGAGCCGAUGUCGGAUUAGCUAGUUGGCGGGGUAAAGGCCCACCAAGGCGACGAUCCGUAGCUGGUCUGAGAGGAUGAUCAGCCACACUGGAACUGAGACACGGUCCAGACUCCAACGGGAGGCAGAAGUGGGGAAUAUUGGACAAUGGGCGCAAGCCUGAUCCAGCCAGACGGCGUGGGUGAAGAAGGCCUUCGGGUUGUAAAGCCCUUUUGUUGGGAAAGAAAAGCAGCAGGUUAAUACCCCGCUGUUCUGAGGGAACCAAAAGAAUAAGCACCGGUUAACUUGGU